rnacentral:tRNA from 1 species
GGGGUGUUAGCUCAGCUGGCCAGAGCGCUUGCAUGGCAUGCAAGAGGUCAUCGGUUCGACUCCGAUACGCUCCA